GACGAACGCUGGCGGCGUGCUUAACACAUGCAAGUCGAACGGAAAGGCCCUGCUUUUGUGGGGUGCUCGAGUGGCGAACGGGUGAGUAACACGUGAGUAACCUGCCCUUGACUUUGGGAUAACUUCAGGAAACUGGGGCUAAUACCGGAUAGGAGCUCCUGCUGCAUGGUGGGGGUUGGAAAGUUUCGGCGGUUGGGGAUGGACUCGCGGCUUAUCAGCUUGUUGGUGGGGUAGUGGCUUACCAAGGCUUUGACGGGUAGCCGGCCUGAGAGGGUGACCGGCCACAUUGGGACUGAGAUACGGCCCAGACUCCUACGGGAGGCAGCAGUGGGGAAUAUUGCACAAUGGGCGGAAGCCUGAUGCAGCAACGCCGCGUGCGGGAUGACGGCCUUCGGGUUGUAAACCGCUUUCGCC
rnacentral:rRNA from 1 species